rnacentral:sRNA from 1 species
GCCCGACUUGAGUGGAGCUCUUUUUUUGCAUUGGGAAAAGCCUUGGCAAAAAAAAGCGGGAACGGAAGGCGGAAAAGCUG